rnacentral:misc_RNA from 1 species
AUCGUUAUAAUACUCGCCCUCAACAUGAUCUCAACCAGAACCCUCUGUCUCACGCGCUCCCUCCCCCUUCUCCGCCUCCUCCCUCUCUCCCACAAACUCCCCUCCAAGUCACUCCCCUGUCCCCUCUACUCCGCCUCCCUCUCCUUCUGCCUCCACCGCCCCCCUAAAUCCACCAGCGCCGCCGCUAUGUCUACCGCCGCCGCCGCCGCCGCUGCCGGCGCCAGCGUCAACCCCCUCCUCCAGGACUUCGCCUUCCCGCCGUUUGAUGUCGUCGACGCCGAUCACGUCCGCCCGGGCAUCCGGGAGUUGCUCAAGAGACUGGAGAGCGAUCUAGAGGAGCUGGAGCGGACUGUGGAACCGUCGUGGCCGAAGCUGGUGGAGCCGCUGGAGCGGAUCAUGGACCGGCUGACGGUUGUUUGGGGGAUCGUCAACCAUCUCAAGGCGGUUAAGG